UUUAACAUGAACAUUGUUUAGUAUUUUCUUAUAUAUUGUGCGGUUAUAUGUGAAUCUGAAGUACUGUCAAAACAUUGUCCAUCUAAACAUUGAUGAAGAUGACUCAAGUUGUUCUUCAUUCAAAGAUGCUUUUGGAUCAUUCUCUUCAAAAUGUUUAACAAUGAAAAGGGAAGAUGAACAAGGUCUUGAAGAAUGGGAACUUUCAGAAAGUCCUCAACAGUUUUAUGUCAAAGAAAAAGAGAAGCCUUCUUAUGCAAUCCAACAUUCAGAUAUUGAAGCCAUGAAGGAAAAGUUUUCGAAGCUCUUACUCGGUGAAGAUGUUACAGGAGGAACUAAGGGCAUCGCUACCGCCUUGGCACUGUCUAAUGCCAUCACAAACUUAGCAGUUACUGUUUUUGGUGAGCUGUGGAAACUGGAACCUUUAUCGGAAGAAAGGAAGUGCAAAUGGCGAAGAGAAUUGGAUUGGUUACUGUCUCCUACUAACUAUAUGGUUGAGCUAGUUCCGGCUAAGCAAAACAAUGCUAAUGGUCGGAUCUUUGAGAUCAUGACACCGAAAGCCCGUGCAGACAUUCACAUGAAUCUUCCAGCACUCCAGAAAUUGGACUCUAUGCUUAUCGUACGUCAUCUCUUUACUAUAAUCAACAAUGAUCUUGAAAGGUAUCCGUUCGGGAGAUCGAUUGAAGUAAAAGGCAAAAGUAAAAGGCGUCAUUGAAGUAAAAGCCUCACCUGACCAGGCUCCCAGGUCAAGUAGAAGUUGCCACGACUUGAGACUGCAACAUACCUUCCAUCGGGAGAUCGAUUGACAGUAUUGAAAGUUCCAGUGUAAUAACUUGCACCACUAAUACCACCAAAAUACAAUAUUUGCAGUAUUGAAAAUUGUGAAAGAUAGACCGUCUAAGGAGAUUUUGUAACAUAUAGAUAAAAAGUUGAAUUUGUUCUUUAAUAGCAUCAUAAAAACCAUCCAAUUUCCAAAAGUAUUAACGCUGGACUUUCCGUAUUUCUAAUCUCCAGCAUAGAAUAGAGUUUUCUCCAAUCAAAAUGCUGGCUAAGUUCACUUCCUAAUUUAAAAUAGUUGCAUUCCUUAAGUAGCAUUAUGCAUUCAUCCAUACACAUACAUUCUGCAUUCUCAGACAGUUACAUCAAACAAAGUUUGGUUUUUUGUCUCUCGGAAACUCACCUAUUAAGCGUAGCCGAAACUGAUUCCUGAACAGCAGCCUUCCAAUUGUAUCCUCUAUUUGCGGUAACAUAUAUUGCACCUUCAUCAGUCACCAUCUCCGCACCCUUGUCAUCAGUCGCCUUUAUGUAUACCUACAUAUUUAACAACUUAUGUGAGCAUUUGUUUUAUGUGAUUUAUGUUUAGAUUUUUGAAUCUGAAAGCAGGUUUGAUGCAAAAUUAGUGUAAAUUUACAACUGUAUUGUAUUUGGAUGAUGCAUGUAUACCAUAACUGCUUGCAAUUUUCUAUUAAAUCUAUUGGUGAUCUCACAAUUCAUUCGAUUUCAAAAUCUCGUGAUUCUACAAUCAAGAAGGUAUCCGUCUUUCCGUAAUAUAUCUGUUGUUUGUGAAAUUAAUCACCUGGUAAAAUUGUUAGCAGACAGGCCCUUAUUGUUGUUACUGUCCUUUGUUAAGGAAUUUGUUUCUAACACUUUAUUUGUUUUGUUUUGUGUUGGGGCAAUUUGAUCCAUGUGUUGAACAAGUUGCAAUCUGAAUUGAUGUCUUUGAUGUAUCCAGACAAUCCUACAAGACAACAGAAGAAGGAUGUAAAAGAACUGCUGCAUACCUUAUGGAAAACCAUGCUGAUAUUGGUCAGGCCUUUUGGUCAUCUGUUCCGAAGAACAAUGAAGCUCAUCUUGCUUUGGGGACUACCCUGUUUCAUAGCGGAAUGUGCAUACAAGAUAUGAUCAGCUUUGAAGAUGUAUUGAAGGAGUUUACUUCUAAGAAAUGCGGUAAACUUGGGAAAUUGCUUAAGGAAAGGGGUAAUCAUGGGGUUCAGAUGAAACACAAAGAUUCUAGAGCACCGAAGCUAACCGUCAAGCAUGGCGUAAAAUUAUAUAUGAAGAAAGUGUUAUGACUUAGUUAAAAUAUAAUUUUUAUGUGUAUGAUUUUAUAAUACUUGAAAUAUUAUGACUG